rnacentral:rRNA from 1 species
GACGAACGCUGGCGGCGUGCUUAACACAUGCCAGUCGAACGGUGAAGCGCCUUCCUUUUUGGUGGCUGUGGAUGAGUGGCGAACGGUUGAGUAACACGUGAGUACCCUGCCCUCUUCUUCUGGAUAACCGCAUGAAAGCGUGGCUAAUACGGGAUAUCCUGCUUCUGUCGCAUGAUGGGUCUGUGACAGAUAUUGUUUCGGUGGGGGAUGGUCUCGCGUCCUUUCAGCUUGUUGGUGUGGUGAUGGCCUACCAAGGCGGUGGCGGGUAGAAGGCCUGGGAGGGUGGACGGUCAGAGUGGGAGUGAGACACGGUACAGACUCAGAUGGGAGGCAGAAGGAGGGAAUAGGGAGCAAUGGGGGAAAGUCUGAAGCAGGGAGGCAGCGUGAGGAGGGAAGGCAUUCGGGGUGUGAAGCUCUUUGGGUAGUGAAGCGGGCCUGCCUGGUAUGUGGGUGGGUUGACGGUAGCGGGAUAAGAAGCGCCGGCUAACUACGUG